CAAAGCUUGACCUUACAAUGCUGAGAAACUUUAAAGCUCUGUAGUAUUUUGGGUCACAUUGUUAGAUUGGACAAAGGAAUAAAGAAGAAAUGUGACAGUUUCCAGGGAAUUAAGGGGAAGAAACAAGGACACUGCUGGUACAAAAGAAAAUGUGUUAAGGGUUGAAGUGUUUCAAGUUAGUCUCAACAUGAAGGUGAAUUGUUUGGAAAUGAUGACAAGAGCCCAGCAUGUUUGGACUAGGAGGAAAGUAAUUUUGCUAUUAUAAAAAUAAUUCUUGCAACCAUAAAAAUCUUUUCAUUAUCCUUUCAACUGAGCAAUGAAUCAUAGACUCAUAGAAUAUCAGGGUUGGAAGGGACCUCAGGAGGUCAUCUAGUCCCACCCCCUGUAUCUAAUGAGAUAGACACUUAACUGGACAAUGCAUAACCCUCGGCAUUCAAUCUUCCCAGCCUGUAGCAGUCACACCAUUUAAGCAGAGAUGUCAGAUGGUAGAAGAACGAGCAUCCAAAUGAUUCUGGUUUUAUAA